GUAUUGAUUGCGUGUGAGCGCAAAAAGAAAACAUUCUACACAGUAUGGAGUUUUAUGUGAAAACGCGAGCCCCCCGCAAAGGGGACCCACGCGGUGAUGCACAAAGGGGUGAGAUGGAUGUGUGAGAGUGCUCGGGCGUGCACGACCUUUAAAAAGGUCAGCGACAGCCCGGGCACCUCCGUUGUAUGAUAAUGAUCCUUCCGCAGGUUCACCUACGGAAA
rnacentral:misc_RNA from 1 species